AGACUGGGAAGGAAUGGACAGCGCCUGGGGAGUUUGGGAAGUUUAGGAGCCAAAAGUCGAAGCCAGUGAAGUUGUCAGCUGCGAACAGGUACUAUUUUGAAGUGCUACACAAGCAAGAUGACAAAGGGACAGAUCAUGUGGAAGUGGCAUGGAGGCUGAAUGACCCAGAAGCCACAUUUGCGAUUAUCGACGCUCCGUCCCUCUCCCUUUUUGCUAGUGA